AUUGAACGCUGGCGGCAGGCCUAACACAUGCAAGUCGAGCGAGCGGCGGACGGGUGAGUAAUGUAUGGGGACUGCCCGCUAGAGGGGGAUAACUACUGGACACGGUGGCUAAUACCGCAUACUAUCGGAUAACCCAUAUGGGAUUAGCUAGUAGGUGGGGUAAAGGCUCACCUAGGCGACGAUCUCUAGCUGGUCUGAGAGGAUGAUAAGACACCCUGGGACUGAGACACGGCCCAGAAUCCGCCGGGGGCAGCAGUGGGGAAUAUUGCACUAUGGGCGCAAGCCUGAUGCAGCCAUGCCGCGUGUAUGAAGAAGGCCUUAGGGUUGUAAAGUACUUUCAGCGGGGAGGCGUUACCCGCAGAAGAAGAACCGGCUAACUCCGUGCCAGCGGCCGCGGUAAUUC
rnacentral:rRNA from 1 species